GCCAAUGUGAUGCCACCAACUCAAGGAUGCUUGCCAUGGAUUGUGCAGAAAGUUUCAAGUCACAUGUAAACUUCCCACUGAAUCUAUGGCAUUAAAUUAAGAAGUAAAUUAUAAUUUAAUGUCUACAUUAUGUCAAUAUUAAUACGUCAAUCCCAGUACUUCCAAAAUCAAAUUAGUUCAAUAAUAGAGCACUUAACCUUCUUAAAGGAACACUGCAAAGCAGUUGAGUCAUCCACACCUAUGACUUCUCUAUCGAUGCCUCAAUUAUCUCUCUCAUAAAAAUAAAGGUAUGCAGUAAAACCACUUAAAAAGACAACCACAUUGGAGGCGGUGGUAUAGUCAGCAGCCAGCAGUGAAAGUAGAAGAAGGCUAAAGCUCCGAUUACCCAGCAUCAAGUAAGGGAGGAUAACGAGUGUUUUUCCUCAAAUCCAAAUCCCAAUUGCACAAUAUUUGUUUCUCCUCGGAAGAUGCUCAAGAGUUAAGGUACCUUUUCCUGAUACUCAAUCAAAAAACUAUCCAGGAAGUACUUCUCAGUGCUUGACUAUACAGUACUUAAAUCAAUAUGUCCCUUGACCAAACCCUUCAAUAGCAAGACUUUUACAACUGAACACCUUGAGACAAUCCUCUUCUCCAAACUAUAA
rnacentral:misc_RNA from 1 species